CCUACGGGUGGCUGCAGUGGGGAAUAUUGGGCAAUGGGCGCAAGCCUGACCCAGCAACGCCGCGUGAAGGAAGAAGGCCCUCGGGUUGUAAACUUCUUUUGUCAGGGACGAAACAAAUGACGGUACCUGACGAAUAAGCCACGGCUAACUACGUGCCAGCAGCCGCGGUAAUACGUAGGUGGCAAGCGUUAUCCGGAUUUACUGGGUGUAAAGGGCGUGUAGGCGGGAGAGCAAGUCAGAUGUGAAAUUCCAGGGCUCAACCCUGGAACUGCAUUUGAAACUGUUUUUCUUGAGUGAUGGAGAGGCAGGCGGAAUUCCGUGUGUAGCGGUGAAAUGCGUAGAUAUACGGAGGAACACCAGUGGCGAAGGCGGCCUGCUGGACAUUAACUGACGCUGAGGCGCGAAAGCGUGGGGAGCAAACAGGAUUAGAUACCCGGGUA
rnacentral:rRNA from 1 species